AGGAAACCCAACACCUUCCAACCCAGCACCACUUGGCUGCAGACUGAGCAUGAGUUUCCUUCCAUUAAAGUCUUUGAAGUGCUUUUUCCCCUAGAUCAGUGGUUCUCAAGUGGGGGCGAGUCUGCCUUCCAGGGAGUAAUUGGCGAUAAUGUCUGAAGACAUUUUUGAUUUUCACAACUAGGGGCAGAUCCUGCUGUCACGUACUUGGUAGAGGCCAGGGUGCCCCUCAGCAUCCCACACUGCAAGAGAAGUUUCCACAACAGAGAAUGAUCUGGCCCCAAAUGUCAGUAGUGCCAGGAUUGAAAAACCCUGUUCUGGCAGUUUAUGCUGGGCAUAGUUUAGCAAGUUCCAGUCCUUUGGAGUCCCUUUUCUCCUACUUUACGGUAACUUAUGCUUGUUUCUCUUGCUGACAGCUGAAAUCACAGGGCAAGGGAGCUGGUGGGGAAGACCUCAUUAUGCUGGACAUUUACGCUAUCGAAGAGCUCCGGGCACGGGGUCUGGAGGUCACAGAUGAUUCCCCAAAGUACAAUUACCAUUUGGACUCCAGUGGUAGCUAUGUAUUUGAGAACACAGUGGCUACGGUGAUGGCUCUGCGCAGGGAGAAGAUGUU
rnacentral:lncRNA from 1 species